rnacentral:rRNA from 1 species
CGUCUAGGCGGGUAGGUCAGUCGGCUGUGAAAUCCCUCGGCUCAACCGAGGAACGGCAUCCGAUACUGCCUACCUUGAGAACGAGAGGGGAGAGUGGAACUCCUGGUGGAGCGGUGAAAUGCGUAGAUAUCAGGAGGAACGCCGGUGGCGAAAGCGACUCUCUGGCUCGUUUCUGACGCUGAAGCGCGAAAGCUAGGGGAGCGAACG